UUGUAUUUUCAUUUAAGUUCUUUUUGAUGAAAAAUUGCUAAAAUUUGGACUAAAUAUUGACAAUGAGCAGACAUGGAUGUACUUAACUAUCCCAAUCAUACUCUAUGCUAGUGAAAGGUUGAUUAGGGCAUUCAGAUCAAGCAUUAAAGCUGUUAAGAUUUUGAAGGUAAGUCGAAUUCGACAAAUUGUCGUGCUCGUAAUAAUUUUAAGGGGAAUUGUCAAGCAUCAAAGCUGUUAAGAUUUUGAAGGUAAGUCGAAUUCGACAAAUUGUCGUGCUCGUAAUAAUUUAACGGGAAGUCGCAUUUUAGUCCCUCAAUUAUUGACAAUUUCCAAUUUUAGUCUUUGUGAUAUUUAUUUUAGCAUAUUUAACCUUCAGUUAAUUUAAGUUAAACUUAUGAUCCUAUGGCUGAUAAAUCUUUUCAAUGAGAGAUUCACAACUAAAUCAUUCAUUUACACAUGCAUUAGAUAUGUUUAACUUCUAUUAUUACUCCAUGGUUGGGGAUAAUAAAAUAGAGUAAAUUAAUACAUUUUUCAUAUAAAGGGACCAAAUGCACACUUUUUAAUUAGUUGAAGG
rnacentral:lncRNA from 1 species